CCUACGGGUGGCAGCAGUGAGGAAUAUUGGUCAAUGGGCGCAAGCCUGAUCCAGCCAAGUCGCGUGAGGGAUGACGGUCCUAUGGAUUGUAAACCUCUUUUGUCGGGGAGCAAGGCCCGCCACGUGUGGCGGGAAGGAGAGGACCCGAAGAAAAAGCAUCGGCUAACUCCGUGCCAGCAGCCGCGGGAAUACGGAGGAUGCGAGCGUGAUCCGGAUUGAGUGGGUGGAAAGGGGGCGUAGGCGGAAGGUUAAGUCAGCGGUCAAAUGUCGGUGCUCAACACCGGCCUGCCGUUGAAACUGGUCUUCUUGAGUGAGCGAGACGUAUGCGGACUGCAUGGUGUCGCGG
rnacentral:rRNA from 1 species